rnacentral:rRNA from 1 species
UGGGAACGUACCCUUUGGUUCAGAACAACCCAGGGAAACUUGGGCUAAUACCGGAUAAGUCCGUAAGGAGAAAGAUUUAUCGCCAAAGGAUCGGCCCGCGUCUGAUUAGCUAGUUGGUAGGGUAAUGGCCUACCAAGGCUACGAUCAGUAGCUGGUCUGAGAGGAUGAUCAGCCACAUUGGGACUGAGACACGGCCCAAACUCCUACGGGAGGCAG